GCUCCCAUGGCGUAGUGGUCACUGCACUCGCCUUGCACGCGGGAGACCCGGGUUCGAUUCCCGGCGGGGGGG
rfam:Asian citrus Psyllid, Diaphorina citri - Florida Strain, whole genome shotgun sequence.